UUAGUGUGAUGAAAAUGUCCUGUGUAUGUACUAGAAUGUCCUGAAAAGCUGUCUCAGGUCCAGAAAUUGAUGGCUGUUCUGUGGAGGGGGUGAAUGGUGGAGUGCGAGGCUGGUUCUAAAAUGAAGAAGGAAAAAGUAAUAAAUGAAUAUCACAGAUGGUCUACAGGUCUAGUGAGGUAUCAUGCAGGAAGCCUGAAAUGUCUCCGCAUGACCACCAAAAACAUUGUAAAGUCUAUAUAUUUCCAGCCAACGUGAGUGAUGGUCUACAACAUGUCUGCCUUAUGUGUGGUAUAAGGCAGGUCUACAUGUUUGCCUUUUGUGUGGUAAGGCAGGUCUACAACACGUCUACCUUAUGCAUGUCAAUUCCCUAGUGUCCUCUUCAACCCCCGCCCCACUCUGCCUUCUCCCUCUCUGGAAUGAAGUGAGUAGAAAAGAAAUGCAUCUGAUAAAAAUAUUAAGAUCUGAGCAUAAUUUUAUUCAUACCAUAUGACCACUGCUGCACAUCCCUUUGAAUCUAUUAUCAUAUGUUAUUCAUGUGAAUGGGGCAAAUGUGUUUUUAUCUCAUUAGGUAAUUUACUAUCCCCAUUAAUUAAUGUACUAUAAGAGUACCUGUGAAAUUGAAUUUUUCUGAAGGAAUAUGAGGAAUAGUGUAUCAUUUUCUAAAACAUUGACAGUGGCUGGCCAAAAUCACUUGAAGAAACCAUAAAAGUCAAUGAAGGAGAAGAGAGUUAUAUGUGAGCCUGAUAAGAUUAAACUUGGUUGAUUAUGAGGGCACGAAGAUGUUUUUGCAGAUAUGAAACAAUUAUUAGAUUUUCU